rnacentral:rRNA from 1 species
UAUGAAGGGGGCUAGCGUUGCUCGGAAUCACUGGGCGUAAAGCGCACGUAGGCGGAUCGUUAAGUCAGGGGUGAAAUCCUGGAGCUCAACUCCAGAACUGCCUUUGAUACUGAAGAUCUUGAGUUCGGGAGAGGUGAGUGGAACUGCGAGUGUAGAGGUGAAAUUCGUAGAUAUUCGCAAGAACACCAGUGGCGAAGGCGGCUCACUGGCCCGAUACUGACGCUGAGGCACGAAAGCGUGGGGAGCAAACGGGG